UACGAAGGGUGCAAGCGUUACUCGGAAUUACUGGGCGUAAAGCGUGCGUAGGUGGUUCGUUAAGUCUGUCGUGAAAGCCCCGGGCUCAACCUGGGAAUGGCGAUGGAUACUGGCGGGCUAGAGUAUGGUAGAGGGUAGUGGAAUUUCCGGUGUAGCGGUGAAAUGCGUAGAGAUCGGAAGGAACACCAGUGGCGAAGGCGGCUACCUGGACCAAUACUGACACUGAGGCACGAAAGCGUGGGGAGCAAACAGG
rnacentral:rRNA from 1 species